AGGGCUGUAUACGAACCGAGCCGAGCCGAAUACCUUCAGGCUCGGGCUCGGCUCGCGAAAUUUUGGGUAGGCUCGAGUUCGGCUCGAGCUCGAGGUCGAGCUUUAAAAUGAGCUCGAGCUCGGCUCGACGGAAUAAUAUUAAGUUCGAGCUCGAUUCGUAUUCGGUUCGUUAAUUAUUCGUUUAUCUCGAGCUCGAACUCGGCUCGAUUUUGAAGCUCGAUUUCAAAUUCGAAUUCGAUUUCGAAUUCAAGCUCAAGUUCGAGUUCGGCUCGAUUUUGGGCUCGAUUUCAAUUCGAAUUCGAGCUCGAAUUCGAAUUCAGGCUCGAGUUCGAGCUCGGUUCGUGUAUUAAUAAUAAAUAAAAUCUGUUAUGUAGUCAUUCCAAAAAUUUCAAUCCACAAUGCAAAAUCACAAAAUAAAUCCACAAAAUGUAUCAAAAUUACACAAUAUUUAUAAAACAUGGCAUUUGAUCUUGAAGUUCCUUGCAAAUCUAAUCCUACAAAUACCAAAAAAAUUCAAAUUACAUAAAAAAAAUCACAAAUGAGUAAUACCAGAAAUUAGACAAAUUCAAAUGAAAUAACUCUACCAAUGUUUUCUUCACAAAACUCUCAAGACAUUGUAUAUUCUUUAAAUCCCCAAUUUAUGCUGCAGGGGAAGAAUCAAACAACAUUAACCAAAUAAACACUAAUCACUUUACUGAAAGAAUGAAAUAUAGCAAUUGUAACCUUAAUUGAACCUUGCAACAUUUAAAUUAUGAGCAAAUUAAGAAAGAAUCAAAAUGCAGCAACAUAGAAAUUCAAACUGGCUCGCAUAUGCAGAUAGAGUCAGAGCCAAAUUAAAGGGCUGAGUGAAUAUACUUGCGGCUUAGGGUGUAUUUUCUGGGAGACGCGGUGGGUUGCAGCAGCGACUGGCUGCCACGCGUUCGACGCGGCCAACAGUCAGACGAGCGACGGUGGUGCGAGCGGCUGCGGAUUCGUUUGCUGGUUCGUUUGACGGAGCAAGAGAGUAUCGUUUUGCAAUUUUCGGACCGCUUGGUAGCAGAUCUUUGUGAUGGCGGUAUUGAUUUCGUUUUUGGUAAAAGAGAGACUGAGAGAGAAUUUAUGGGGGCUGCUGUUUGUGGACGGAAGGUGAGGCCGUCGGCGGAGGCGGCAUCUGCCAAGGGCAGAAAGAAAGAAGGCGGCGGCGGUGGAGACGGUGGAGACGGAGGGGGAGGGGCGGGGACCUGGGCGCCGAUCGGGGAGGGGCUCGGCGCGGCGGAGAUGGUAGAAUGGGUGGG
rnacentral:lncRNA from 1 species